ensembl:misc_RNA Metazoa_SRP Metazoan signal recognition particle RNA
GCUGGGCAUGGUGGCCCAUGCCUGUAAUCUCAGCUACUCAGGAGGCUGAGGCAGGAGAAUUGCUUGAACCCAGGAGGUGGAGGUUGCAGUGAGCCAAAGUCAUGCCACUGCACUCCAGCCUGGGUGACAGAGCGAGACUCUGUCUCAA